rnacentral:lncRNA from 10 species
UAAGCAGAACAUUACAACAGUGCAGCUGUGUAAUAUGGCAGCAUCACUCCAGUCUCUUCCUCUGUUUUCACAUGGCUUCCUUCUCUGUUUCUGUGUCUCAAAUCUUCCUCUCCUCAUUCUUAUAAAGUCAUCAGUCAUUGGAUUUAGGGCCCUCCCUAAAUCCAGGAUUAUGUCAUCUCCAUAUCUUGAACUUAAUCACAUCUGCAAACACCCUGUUUCCAAAUAAGGUCACAUUCACAGCUACGGGGGAGUUAGGAUGUGGACAUUAGAUAUACAUUUUUUUCCAGCUAAAAGUAAAAACCUGCUUUAUCUUUCCUCACAGGAUUAAGUCACAUAGUACAUGUGAAAGAGCUUUGUAAAUUUUGGGCCGCAAAACCAAUAAAGGGAAUCUCAUUGAUGAUGACAUCUUCAUUUGGCAGAUGUGUAUCUGUUUGGUGUAUAAUACCUGAGAAGCCUCUCUUUAAGCCCAGGCUUGGAGCAUCUGCAAAGGAGGAUCAUUAAAAAUAUACAUUUUUUGGAAGAUGAGAUUUGCUAUUUUAAAAAUAUUAUUAAGUAAUAAUUUCUACUUUUAAAAAGUCAUCAUAAAAAUCCAAAUUUGUGAAUUUACUUUUAACUAUUAUUAUUAUUAUUAGUAGUAGUAGUAGUAGUAGUAGUAGUAUUGGAAUGAAGACUUUCCAGCAGGCAUUUUUCCACGUUUUCACCAACCACUUUUCACUGCUUAAGGCUUCGAAGAGCCCUCUCCCAGUCAGGGGGAUGCAAUGAUCAAAGCAGUCUGUUCUUAUGAACAAAUCAAUCAAGAGUCACCCCAGCUUCCCAUCACACAGGGACCAAUAACUUUUUUCCUGUCCAUUCAUUCUUCUUUCACUUCCUUUUAUUUGUCUUUCUCUGCCUUUCCCCCAGUCCUAUUCCCUCAUCAAUUUCUUUCACUCUCUUUCUCCUCUUCUUCCUUCCUCUCCUCUUCUCCCCAUUCCCCUUCUCUGCUCCAAUUUCUGUCCUGUUCUUCUCCCACUUCCCAGCAAACAGGUGUCAGACAU